GACGAACGCUGGCGGCGUGCUUAACACAUGCAAGUCGAACGGAAAGGCCCUGCUUUUGUGGGGUGCUCGAGUGGCGAACGGGUGAGUAACACGUGAGUAACCUGCCCUUGACUUUGGGAUAACUUCAGGAAACUGGGGCUAAUACCGGAUAGGAGCUCCUGCUGCAUGGUGGGGGUUGGAAAGUUUCGGCGGUUGGGGAUGGACUCGCGGCUUAUCAGCUUGUUGGUGGGGUAGUGGCUUACCAAGGCUUUGACGGGUAGCCGGCCUGAGAGGGUGACCGGCCACAUUGGGACUGAGAUACGGGCCAGACUCCUACGGGAGGCAGCAGUGGGGAAUAUUGCACAAUGGGCGGAAGCCUGAUGCAGCAACGCCGCGUGCGGGAUGACGGCCUUCGGGUUGUAAACCGCGUUCGCCUGUGACGAAGCGUGAGUGACGGUAAUGGGUAAAGAAGCACCGGCUAACUACGUG
rnacentral:rRNA from 1 species